AUGGCCCAAGGACGUUCCUUGGCAAUUUGUUAAUUAGUAAUUAAUUAGUGGACGUUCCCUAAUUAAUUUAAUCAUAAGGAGAGACAUGGUGGUGAGAAGCGUCUUCCACCCCCAUAACUAAUCUAUUGAACUAAUCAAGAUAAUCUAAGUUUCAAUGAUCAACCCAAACAACCAAAGUGGAUCCAUAUCUUCAACUAGGCUUCUCUCAUAUUGAUUUCCUCUUUUAUUUUAAUUAUUUGCUUUCUAUUAUUACUCUCAUUAUUAGUUACUACAAUCAAUCUCAAACCCCCCCAUUUUACUUUUAUUGCAAUUUAUUUUUAUUCUGCUUCCAGUUUAUCUCAUUUGAUCCCACUUUCAGUCUUUUAUCUCAUCUUUAAUUUAUUAUUGUUUCAGUUCAUUUUAUUGGUCUUGUUG
rnacentral:lncRNA from 1 species